CGAGUAGCUGAGGUGUAAUUUGGCGGGGUUGGGGUAUGUGUCUGUAAUAAGCGUACGGUUACCGCCUGCGGC
rnacentral:lncRNA from 1 species